rnacentral:lncRNA from 1 species
GAACCUGCAGUUAAUUCCAUACUUUGUAUGUUGUGUAUUCAUUGUUUUUUUGUUUCUUGAACUCCAUGUUUAACAUCUAAUGUUAUGAUGUAGAUAGAGGAAGAAAGAGAAUUUCCCACCCUCUUUUUCUGGUUAUAUUAUUUUAAGAAAAAGUCAACCUUAUACUUAGUAGGAUGCCAUUACUUGGGGGUAUCCUUCCUUUUUAGUGGGUGGCCAUGAAGGCUCUUAGUACUGACCUAGUCUUUAUUUGAACUUUGCUAUCAUCUUAGUGGCUAACCAUGAAGCAAAUACAUAAAUGUUAAGAAGGAUGUCACAAUUGGACUAUAAAAACCAGAGAUCCUAACUCCACCAUGCAACACAAGUCUUAGUUCUAUCCUUUCUUUUCUCUCCAAGAAUCACAAUGAGAAGCUUUUGGAAUUUGGGGAAAUUGCCUCUACUAGCAUUUGCUUUGGCAAUUUGCUUUGUAGCCAGCACUGUUGUUGCUGAUUACUCUUAUGGCUAUACUUCUCCCUCACCUUCUUACACCUCUAAGAAGUACUACAAAUCACCAUCUCCAUCCAACUAUCAUGAACCAACUCCAUACUACAAGAAACCGGAGAAACAUGCUGAACAUUCUCCAUCACACUAUUACAAGUCACCGGUGCCUUCCAAGCACGACUAUUACAAGUCCCCUACUCCUUCAAAGCAUUACUACAAAUCACCAGUAGUAGUGAAGUAUUACAAAUCACCAGUUCCUUCAAAGAAGUACUACUACAAGGCACCUUCCCAUUCAAACAAGUACUACAAGGCCCCUGCUCCUUCAAAGAAGUACUACAAGUCCCUUGCCCCUUCAAAGAACUAUUACAAGUCACCAUCUCCUGCAAAGUACUACAAAUCUCCUUCACCUGCAAAAUACUACAAGUCACCUGCUCCAUCAAAUCACUAUUAUUAUAAGUCACCAUCCCCUACAAAAUACUACAAAUCUCCAUCGCCUGCAAAAUACUACAAGUGGCCUUCACCAUCAAAUCACUAUUACUACAAGUCACCAUCUCCAACAAAAUAUUACAAGUCACCCGCUCCUUCUAAAUACUAUAAAUCUACCCCUUACUACAAGUCCCCUCCACCUCCCCCAUACUACAAAGAAUCUACCCCUUACUACAAGUCCCCUCCACCUCCCCCAUACUACAAAGAAUCUACCCCUUACUACAAGUCCCCUCCACCUCCCCCAUACUACAAAGAAUCUACCCCUUACUACAAGUCCCCUCCACCUCCCCCAUACUACAAAGAAUCUACCCCUUACUACAAGUCCCCUCCACCUCCCCCAUACUACAAAGAAUCUACCCCUUACUACAAGUCCCCUCCACCUCCCCCAUACUACAAAGAAUCUACCCCUUACUACAAGUCCCCUCCACCUCCCCCAUACUACAAAGAAUCUACCCCUUACUACAAGUCCCCUCCACCUCCCCCAUACUACAAAGAAUCUACCCCUUACUACAAGUCCCCUCCACCUCCCCCAUACUACAAAGAAUCUACCCCUUACUACAAGUCCCCUCCACCUCCCCCAUACUACAAAGAAUCUACCCCUUACUACAAGUCCCCUCCACCUCCCCCAUACUACAAAGAAUCUACCCCUUACUACAAGUCCCCUCCACCUCCCCCAUACUACAAAGAAUCUACCCCUUACUACAAGUCCCCUCCACCUCCCCCAUACUACAAAGAAUCUACCCCUUACUACAAGUCCCCUCCACCUCCCCCAUACUACAAAGAAUCUACCCCUUACUACAAGUCCCCUCCACCUCCCCCAUACUACAAAGAAUCUACCCCUUACUACAAGUCCCCUCCACCUCCCCCAUACUACAAAGAAUCUACCCCUUACUACAAGUCCCCUCCACCUCCCCCAUACUACAAAGAAUCUACCCCUUACUACAAGUCCCCUCCACCUCCCCCAUACUACAAAGAAUCUACCCCUUACUACAAGUCCCCUCCACCUCCCCCAUACUACAAAGAAUCUACCCCUUACUACAAGUCCCCUCCACCUCCCCCAUACUACAAAGAAUCUACCCCUUACUACAAGUCCCCUCCACCUCCCCCAUACUACAAAGAAUCUACCCCUUACUACAAGUCCCCUCCACCUCCCCCAUACUACAAAGAAUCUACCCCUUACUACAAGUCCCCUCCACCUCCCCCAUACUACAAAGAAUCUACCCCUUACUACAAGUCCCCUCCACCUCCCCCAUACUACAAAGAAUCUACCCCUUACUACAAGUCCCCUCCACCUCCCCCAUACUACAAAGAAUCUACCCCUUACUACAAGUCCCCUCCACCUCCCCCAUACUACAAAGAAUCUACCCCUUACUACAAGUCCCCUCCACCUCCCCCAUACUACAAAGAAUCUACCCCUUACUACAAGUCCCCUCCACCUCCCCCAUACUACAAAGAAUCUACCCCUUACUACAAGUCCCCUCCACCUCCCCCAUACUACAAAGAAUCUACCCCUUACUACAAGUCCCCUCCACCUCCCCCAUACUACAAAGAAUCUACCCCUUACUACAAGUCCCCUCCACCUCCCCCAUACUACAAAGAAUCUACCCCUUACUACAAGUCCCCUCCACCUCCCCCAUACUACAAAGAAUCUACCCCUUACUACAAGUCCCCUCCACCUCCCCCAUACUACAAAGAAUCUACCCCUUACUACAAGUCCCCUCCACCUCCCCCAUACUACAAAGAAUCUACCCCUUACUACAAGUCCCCUCCACCUCCCCCAUACUACAAAGAAUCUACCCCUUACUACAAGUCCCCUCCACCUCCCCCAUACUACAAAGAAUCUACCCCUUACUACAAGUCCCCUCCACCUCCCCCAUACUACAAAGAAUCUACCCCUUACUACAAGUCCCCUCCACCUCCCCCAUACUACAAAGAAUCUACCCCUUACUACAAGUCCCCUCCACCUCCCCCAUACUACAAAGAAUCUACCCCUUACUACAAGUCCCCUCCACCUCCCCCAUACUACAAAGAAUCUACCCCUUACUACAAGUCCCCUCCACCUCCCCCAUACUACAAAGAAUCUACCCCUUACUACAAGUCCCCUCCACCUCCCCCAUACUACAAAGAAUCUACCCCUUACUACAAGUCCCCUCCACCUCCCCCAUACUACAAAGAAUCUACCCCUUACUACAAGUCCCCUCCACCUCCCCCAUACUACAAAGAAUCUACCCCUUACUACAAGUCCCCUCCACCUCCCCCAUACUACAAAGAAUCUACCCCUUACUACAAGUCCCCUCCACCAUACUGAUAUCAAUCCGACUUAAGUAGGAAAACAUAUUUGAGGCUGAACCAAUAAAGCAGAAUGAAACUGAAGGACAGGUUCUACCCUAAAAUUCAAUUAAUCUUGCAUCAUGUGAUGUUCUCAUUGUUUUGGAUCUUUUAUUGAAAGCAAGUAGAACUAGUUGGAGUCAUUACAAAGAGGAACUGAAUGCCAUGGUAGAACAUGACGUUGUGCCCGUUAGUUGUAGUUGCAUCACAGUUCCUCCCAUCGCUAAGGGAUUCCACCACAAAAUUGACUUCUUGAUAGACAUGGCGAACUUCCGGUAGGCCCAUUGCUCCCAGGUUGAACCUGCAAUUAAAUCCAUACAUUGUAUGUGUAUUCACUGUUUUUUCUUGAACUCCAUGUUUAACAUCUAAUGUUAUGGUGUAGAUAGAGGAAGAAAGAGAAUUUCCCACCCUCUUUUUCUGGUUAUUUUAUUUUAAGAAAAAGUCAACCUUAUACUUAGUAGGAUGCCAUAACUUAGGAAUAUCCUGCCUUUUUAGUGGGUAACCAUGAAGGCUCUUAGUACUAACCUAGUCUUUAUUUGAUCUUUGCUAUCAUCUUAGUGGUUAACCAUGAAGCAAAUACAAAAAUGUUAAGAAGGAUGUCACAAUUGCAGUAUAAAAACCAGAGAUCCUAACUCAACUAUGCAACACAAGUCUUAGUUCUAUCCUUUCUUUUCUCUCCAAGAAGCACAAUGAGAAGCUUUUGGAAUUUGGGGAAAUUGCCUCUACUAGCAUUUGCUUUGGCAAUUUGCUUUGUAGCCAGCACUGUUGUUGCUGAUUACUCUUAUGGCUAUACUUCUCCCUCACCUUCUUACACCGCUAAGAAGUACUACAAAUCACCAUCUCCAUCCAACUAUCACGAACCAACUCCAUACUACAAGAAACCGGAAAAACAUGCUGAAUAUUCUCCGUCACACUAUUACAAGUCACCGGUGCCUUCCAAGCACGACUAUUACAAGUCCCCUACUCCUUCAAAGCAUUACUACAAAUCACCAGUAGUAGUGAAGUAUUACAAAUCACCAGUUCCUUCAAAGAAGUACUACUACAAGGCACCUUCCCAUUCAAACAAGUACUACAAGGCCCCUGCUCCUUCAAAGAAGUACUACAAGUCCCCUGCCCCUUCAAAGAACUAUUACAAGUCACCAUCUCCUGCAAAGUACUACAAAUCUCCUUCACCUGCAAAAUACUACAAGUCACCUGCUCCAUCAAAUCACUAUUAUUAUAAGUCACCAUCCCCUACAAAAUACUACAAAUCUCCAUCGCCUGCAAAAUACUACAAGUGGCCUUCACCAUCAAAUCACUAUUACUACAAGUCACCAUCUCCAACAAAAUAUUACAAGUCACCCGCUCCUUCUAAAUACUAUAAAUCUACCCCUUACUACAAGUCCCCUCCACCUCCCCCAUACUACAAAGAAUCUACCCCUUACUACAAGUCCCCUCCACCUCCCCCAUACUACAAAGAAUCUACCCCUUACUACAAGUCCCCUCCCCCUCCACCAUACUACAAAGAGUCUACCCCUUACUACAAGUCUCCUCCACCUCCCCCAUACUACAAAGAAUCUACCCCUUACUACAAGUCCCCUCCACCUCCCCCAUACUACAAAGAAUCUACCCCUUACUACAAGUCCCCUCCACCUCCCCCAUACUACAAAGAAUCUACCCCUUACUACAAGUCCCCUCCACCUCCCCCAUACUACAAAGAAUCUACCCCUUACUACAAGUCCCCUCCACCUCCCCCAUACUACAAAGAAUCUACCCCUUACUACAAGUCCCCUCCACCUCCCCCAUACUACAAAGAAUCUACCCCUUACUACAAGUCCCCUCCACCUCCCCCAUACUACAAAGAAUCUACCCCUUACUACAAGUCCCCUCCACCUCCCCCAUACUACAAAGAAUCUACCCCUUACUACAAGUCCCCUCCACCUCCCCCAUACUACAAAGAAUCUACCCCUUACUACAAGUCCCCUCCACCUCCCCCAUACUACAAAGAAUCUACUCCUUCCUAUAAAUCACCUCCACCUCCACCAUACUACAAAGAAUCUACUCCUUCCUAUAAAUCCCCUCCCCCUCCCCCCCACCACACCCUCCCCCUCCACCAUACUACAAAGAAUCUACUCCUUCCUAUAAAUCCCCUCCCCCUCCACCAUACUACAAAGAAUCUACUCCUUCCUAUAAAUCCCCUCCCCCUCCACCAUACUACAAAGAAUCUACACCUUCCUAUAAAUCUCCUCCACCCCCAUCAACCUACUAUUAAAAUAGUUACUAAUUCUAUCAUUUCCACCAUUUCCAUGAAUUCUAACUCCUACUUUGAGUAUCUCUAUUUCCUCAGCCAAAAUUUUAUGUAUUCUUCAAGAAGGUUUUGCUUGUUUUGUGUGUUCCUUUCUUUUAAUAAUUUGUAAUAUGCAUUGUUUGAGAUCCUCAAGAUCUCCGUCAGUUUGGUUCAUUGUAUCAAGAUUCUUUUUGAUGUAAUCUCUUGAGAGUUCCACUUUGUGUAAUACUAUCUUCUUCUUUAUCAAAUAUUGUGUUCUCUUAUUGGUUGAGUUCUUGACUUCUUUCAUUGUUCCAUAAGCAUUCACCUUAUGGACAUCUAUGCUAAACUCUUAUAUGAAGAGAAACCACAUCUGAGUAUAGUUUGGUAACUGUACUCAUUAACUUUUGAGAAAGCAAAAUUAUGUACAAUAAACAGAAUAAGAAAGAAAUAAAGAUGCAUUUAAACUAAGAAAAUGCAUCAUUUCGACAAUUCUUUUCUAAGAUAGAGAAGAGGAAAAGGCGACGUAGUCAAGGUUUAUCGACAUUUUUCUCUUUAAAGAUUACUCUUUUCAUUAUUGAUUUUUCCUUCUGCGAAGAUGUAACCAAGUUUCAGAUUUGUUAGAAAAGUAUUCUUAGUCUUAUAGGUUAAAUUAAAAACUAUAUGUGCAACUCCAACAUUAUUGCCUCCAUUAAGUUACUAAUAAAUUAACAAACAAUUCGUACGGAAAUGGGAUCCCAAUAUCAAGAGACAAAAGAUUCUUAUGAGAAAACACAAUUAAACGAGCCUCUACUUGAACCUCCAAGGAUAAAGGUACAUGAACAACCAUUUGAUCUCCAUAAAAAUCGGUAUAGAAUCCCUUGAAAACUAAUGGAUGUAAACAAAUAGCGUCCCUCCACUAAAACAGGCUGGAAUGCCUGUAUGCCUAAUCUAUGCAGAUUGGAUGCUCUAUUCAGCAAUAUAGGAUGUCCCUGCGUAACUUCUUGAUCAGUAAAAAAGAAUAAUCUUCUUAUGUAGUUAUUUUUUUUGAUAAAGGUAACUUUAUAUUCAUGUCAAAACUCAUCAGCAGAGCAUGAUGAGGUGGGAUUUGUAAUCUUCUUAUGUAGUUAUUCAUAAGUUGUUAUCCCCUUACAUCUAACUAUUAAAUAAAUAAGUUUCAUACCCCAAGAACACGAAAAGAAAUAUACUGAUAUCAAUCCGACUUAAGUAGGAAAACAUAUUUGACGAGGAGAAUGUAGAGUCUGAAUAAUGAAGACUUGGGAAAAAUUAAGACAUCAAGAUUUUUCCGAUAGAAGUUCUGGAAACCUCAGUGUAGUUGGCGUUGUUAAUGGAGAAUAUGUGACAUUUGACUCUAAUUUUCUUAGUUGCAAUUUUCUCAAUCUUUAUUCUGUGUUCUGUCAUUUGUAAAGGGGGAUUUAAAGAGUGAAGGUUUAUAUAAAGACAUUUUGGGGUUCAUAAGACUAGUUACAUACUAUUGCACAUGAACUAUUGGGAUGAGCUUGUGCAUUGAACAUUGGGAUCAUCUCAGGUGUACUUCUGGACACUUGAGGUGUAAGUAUCGCGAGACUACUAUCUCUACGUCUGUCCCAAAGUAUCUCAUCUCUAUAUGAGUCCCUGACGAGUCUCGAGUCUGCCUUCCAUCCGUGAUCCUCAGACCAAAAUGUUAUAUAAGGUGUAAUCUGGUAUGAUUAUCCACUGUUCAAUAGUAAAGUCAACUUGUAGAUUCUUCUUCUGGAAUUGCUAUUCUUUUACUUUGCCAAUGGGAUGACAGUUGUGGCAUUCCUCUUCUUAUUUUUCUUUUUUUGUUCCUAAAUUAUUUCUUCAUCAUGAAAUUUUUUUCUAAAAGAAAGAAGUCAUGGAUAAAUGCUUCCCACUAAGUACUGACUUAGUCUUUAUUUUGACUUAGGCAUCAUCUUAGUGGCUAACCAUGAAGCCAUUACAUGACUGUUAAGAAGACUAUCAAUUUGUAGUAUAAAUCUAGAGGUUCCUACUCAACUAUGCAACACAAGUCUUAGUUCUAUCCUCCUCUUCUCCAAGUUUAGUUGGUUGAAAAAGCAAAUGAGAAGCUUUGGAAAUUUGGGGCAAUGGCCUCUACUUGCAUUUGCUUUGGCAAUUUGCUUUGUAGCCAGCACUGUUGUUGCUGACUACUCUUAUGACUAUACUUCUCAUUCACCUUCUUACAAUUCUAAGAAAGACUACAAAUCACCUUCUCCAUACUACAAGAAACCGGAAAAACAUGUUGAACAUUCUCCAUCGCAUUACUAUUACAAGUCGCAUGCUCCUUCAAAACACUACUAUAAGGCACCUGUUAUUGCGAAGUAUUACCAGUCACAUGCUCCUUCAAAGCACUACUACAAGGCACCUAUUGUUACGAAGUAUUACAAGUCACACGCUCCUUCAAAGCACUACUACAAGGCACCUGUUGUUACGAAGUAUUACAAGUCACCUGCUCCUUCGAAACACUACUACAAGGCUCCAGUGGUAGUGAAGUAUUACAAGUCACCAGCUCCUUCAAAGAAUUACUACAAGGCACCUGUCCCUUCAAAGGAGUACUACAAGUCGCCAGCUCCUUCAAAGUACUACUACAAGUCGCCAUCACCUGCAAAGUACUACAAGUCGCCUGCUCCAUCAAAGCACUAUUACUACAAGUCCCCAUCCCCUUCAAAAUAUUACAACUCACCCGCUCCUUCCAAAUACUAUAAAUCACCUGCACCACAAAAAUAUUACAAGUCACCAGUUUACUACAAGUCUCCUCCCCCACCACCAACUUAUUAUGAGAAAUCACCUUCUUACUACAAGUCCCCUCCCCCUCCACCAUACUACAAAGAAUCUACCCCUUACUACAAGUCCCCUCCUCCUCCCCCAUACUACAAAGAAUCUACUCCUUACUACAAGUCCCCUCCACCUCCCCCAUACUACAAAGAAUCUACUCCUUACUACAAGUCCCCUCCACCUCCCCCAUACUACAAAGAAUCUACUCCUUACUACAAGUCCCCUCCACCUCCCCCAUACUACAAAGAAUCUACCCCUUCUUAUAAAUCUCCUCCCCCUCCACCAUACUAUGAAGAAUCUACGCCUUCUUAUAAAUCCCCUCCACCUCCACCAUAUUACAAAGAAUCUACACCUUCCUAUAAAUCUCCUCCACCCCCACCAAAGUACUAUGAGCAAUCUCCUACAACCUAUAACUCACCACCUCCACCACCACCAGCCUAUUACAAGCAAACUCCCACCUAUGCCUCACCUCCACCACCUCAGAAGUACGAGCAAUCUGUCACCUAUGCUUCACCUCCACCCCCGCCAGCUUCUCCCCCACCGACGUACUACUAAACAUUCAAUAACUCUAUCAUUUCCAUGACUUCUACAUCCUAUUUUGAUUUCAUUCCCUCUUCCAAAAUUUAAUGUAUGCUUGUCAAAAUGAUCAGCUUUGCUUACUGUAUGUUCAAUAUUGUUUUGUUCUAAUGAUUUGUAUUUUGUUUUAUGUCUUCAUUAGUUUUUCUCAUUGUAUCAAGAUCAAUAGUUUGUUACCUAUCUUCUCUUCUUUGUGUAAUAUUCUGUGGUUUUAAUCGACUUAAUUCUUUCAAGUAUAGUAUACCUCCAUAACAUAUAUUUGAUGAUACAGAAAGAUACAAAAGGUUAGUUGGGAAACUAAACUACCUUACAGUGACCCGUCUGAUAUUGGCUAUGCAGUUAGUAUUGUCAGUCAGUUCAUGUCUGCACGAACAGUUAACAUUGGGUAGUCUUGGAACAGAUCUUGUGUUGUUUGAAAGGAGCCGAAGGAACUGACGGAACUCUAUUUCGAGACUCGGAACUCCAAAUGUUGACUAAAGUCAAUCAUUUCAACUUAAAAGCUUCCAAAACUCCAAAACUUAUAAAAAUCUCAACUUUAUGAUUUGGUUUCAAAUCUAACCUCAUAAGCUUAUCAAACAUGACUCAGGGCAACUAUUGAGAGGGGUAAAACGGUAAUUUUUCCAAAAAAAUGAAUCCAAAUAUGACCUUCAGGGUCAUUACACACUUUGUUCCCGAGAAGAUAGAGAACAUGAUUUCUACUGGUUAUGUAAAGACGAGAGAAAACAGGUAAUAUAUUAAAGAAGGCUUUAAAUGGUACUCGUGUGGAGUAUCUUUGUAACAUGUUGGACAUGAUUAAUAUCUAUACUCCAACUUAAGGGGGAGUGCUACAUAAUGAAUAUAGACGCAUCUUCAUACAAUCGUAGGUUGAGAUAUUAGGGAUUUUAUGAUUUUGUUUUCUUAGAUAGAUUUACUUGUACACCUACAAAUAGCUCACUCUUGGAAUAAUACGAUAAGGAGAUUCGUUCCAUUGUCUCUUUAUUAUACAAUAAGCCUUCUUUGACAUGCUAUCCAUUUUUUGGAUUGUAAUUAUACUUAUCAACUUUUGAAAAAGAAAAUUAUAUAAAGCAAAAAGAAAUAGAGUCAUAAGUUAAUAAAUUAACCAACAACUCCAACAUUGCGGCUUCCAUUAAGUUAAUAAAUUAACCAACAACUCAUAACACUAUGAUAUUCAUUAGUAAAAGAUUAAUCUUCUUAUGUAGUUAUUUGUAAAUUGUUACCUCUUACUAGAGGGGCGUACCCAUUAUCCACCGAGUUUAGAAGGUUGUGAUUGGUCCAAAGGGCGGGUCACAUGCAAAUUUCUCGGUUAUCAAAAAAAAAAAUUGUUACCCUUUACAUGUUUUAACUAAUAAAUAAAUGUCAUACCCCAUGAACAUGAAGAGGACAAUAUUGUUAUCAAUCUGACUUAAGUAACUAAAAAAACAGAUUUGAAGACGAAAAUAUUGAGUUUGAUUAACAAAGACUCAGCUAAAAAUAAGACAUAUCAAGAUGUUUCCGAUAAAAGGUGUUGUGAAACCUCUCUGUAUUUAGCAUUCUUGACGAAGAAUAUGUGACAUUUGACUCUAAUCUUUUUACUUGCAAUUUUCUUAACUCAUUGUUUUUUUUUAUAUCAGUGAAGGGUGAUUUAGAAAGACUAAGUACAUAGAUUGCACAGGAACUAUUGAGACAAGCCCCGUGUGUUGGACGUUUGAUGCCUCUCAGGUAUACAUGCUGACACUUGAGGUGUAAGUCUCGCUGAGGCAACAACCUCUACAUCUGUCCCAAAGUACCUCAUCUCGAGUCCCUAACGAGUCUCAAGUUUGCCUUCCAUGUGUGAUCCUCUGUAAGUUUUUGAACUUCUUGUUCAGUUUUUGUACUAGUGAACAUAUAGAUUCUUGUUCUGCAAAUAAUCAUUCUUUUACUUUCCCAAUGGGAUGGAAGUUGUGGCAUUCCUCUUCUAAUCUUCUCAUUUUCUUUUUUUAUGUUUCUAAUGAUUUGUUCAAUCAUUAGAAUAAGUUUUAAGAAAAAAAGUUGUGGAAAAAUGCUUCCCACUAAGUAUUCAUGACCUAGUCUUUAUUUGGACUUUGCUAUGAUAUUAGUGGCUAACCAUGAAGGAUGCUACUUUGCUACUAUAAAAACUAGACAUCUCAACUCAACUAUGCAACACAAGUCUUAGUUUUAUCCUUCUUUUUACAAUCAAAAUGAGAAGCUUUGGGAAUUUGGGGCAAUUGCCUCUACUAGCAUUUGCUUUGGCAAUUUGCUUUGUAGCCAGCACUGUUGUUGCUGAUUACUCUUAUGGCUAUACUUCUCCUUCAACUUCUUACACCUCUAAGAAGUACUACAAAUCACCAUCUCCAUCUCCAUACUACAAGAAACCGGAGAAACAUGCUGAACAUUCUCCGUCACACUAUUACAAGUCCCCUACUCCUUCAAAGCACUACUACAAAUCACCGGUAGUAGUAAAGUAUUACAAAUCACCGGCUCCUUCAAAGAAAUACUACAAGUCGCCUUCCCCUUCAAAGUACUAUUACAAGUCGCAUGCCCCUUCUAAGAAGUACUACAAGUCACCAUCCCCUUCAAAGAAGUACUACAAAUCUCCAUCGCCUGCAAAAUACUACAAGUCGCCUGCUCCAUCAAACAACUAUUACUACAAGUCACCAUCCCCUGUAAAGUACUACAAAUCUCCUUCGCCUGCAAAAUACUACAAGUCGCCUGCUCCAUCAAACAACUAUUACUACAAGUCACCAUCCCCUGUAAAGUACUACAAAUCUCCAUCGCCUGCAAAAUACUACAAGUCGCCUGCUCCAUCAAAGAACUAUUACUACAAGUCACCAUCCCCUGUAAAGUACUACAAAUCUCCAUCGCCUGCAAAAUACUACAAGUCGCCUGCUCCAUCAAAGAACUAUUACUACAAGUCACCAUCCCCUGUAAAGUACUACAAAUCUCCAUCGCCAGCAAAAUACUACAAGUCACCUGCUCCAUCAAAGCAUUAUUACUAUAAGUCACCAUCCCCAUCACAAUAUUACAAAUCACCCGCUCCUUCUAAGUA